UAGUCCACGCCGUAAACGAUGAGUGCUAGCUGUCAGGAAGCAUUGCUUUUUGGUGGCGUAGCUAACGCGUUAAGCACUCCGCCUGGGGAGUACGGUCGCAAGAUUAAAACUCAAAGGAAUUGACGGGGACCCGCACAAGCGGUGGAGCAUGUGGUUUAAUUCGAGGCAACGCGAAGAACCUUACCAGUCCUUGACAUGCCGGUCGCGAGGAGCUUAACAGCUCCUCUUCAGUUUGGCUGGACCGUGCACAGGUGCUGCAUGGCUGUCGUCAGCUCGUGUCGUGAGAUGUUGGGUUAAGUCCCGCAACGAGCGCAACCCUCGUCUUUAGUUGCCAGCAUUUAGUUGGGCACUCUAAAGAAACUGCCGGUGUUAAACCGGAGGAAGGUGGGGAUGACGUCAAGUCUUCAUGGCCCUUACGGGCUGGGCUACACACGUGCUACAAUGGUAACUACAACGGGCUGCAACCUCGCGAGGGGAAGCUAAUCCUUAAAAGUUACCUCAGUUCAGAUUGCAGG
rnacentral:rRNA from 1 species